rnacentral:rRNA from 1 species
UAACAAAGCAGAUUUAUUUGCGAUUGUAGUGAGGGUUUCAUAAAUUGAACUUCGAGUACCGAUUGGAGGGCAAGUCUGGUGCCAGCAGCCGCGGUAAUUCCAGCUCCAAUAGCAUAUAUUAAAGUUGUUGCAGUUAAAAAGCUCGUAGUUGGAUUUCUGGGUCCGUCUAUUGAACCUCAAGGGGCUAUUUAGACAACCCAUUAGCCUGUCUUUCAGGCCAUUACUGUGAGAAAAUUAAAGUGUUUCAAGCAAGUUGUUGUUGGAAUACAUUAGCAUGGAAUAAUAUAAAACGUCUAGAAUGUUGGUCAAGUUCUAGAAAGUGAUUAAUAGGGAUAGUUGGGGGCAUUAGUAUUUAAUUGUCAGAGGUGAAAUUCUUGGAUUUUUUAAAGACUAACUUAUGCGAAAGC